AAUCCACGGGGGGCAGCAGUGGGGAAUAUUGGGCAAUGGGCGCAAGCCUGACCCAGCAACGCCGCGUGAAGGAAGAAGGCUUUCGGGUUGUAAACUUCUUUUAAGAGGGAAGAGCAGAAGACGGUACCUCUUGAAUAAGCCACGGCUAACUACGUGCCAGCAGCCGCGGUAAUACGUAGGUGGCAAGCGUUAUCCGGAUUUAUUGGGUGUAAAGGGCGUGUAGGCGGGAGCGCAAGUCAGAUGUGAAAACUCAGGGCUCAACCCUGAGCCUGCAUUUGAAACUGUGUUUCUUGAGUGCUGGAGAG
rnacentral:rRNA from 1 species